rnacentral:rRNA from 1 species
AGCGAACGCUGGCGGCAGGCCUAACACAUGCAAGUCGAACGAACCUUUCGGGGUUAGUGGCGGACGGGUGAGUAACACGUGGGAACGUGCCUUUAGGUUCGGAAUAACUCAGGGAAACUUGUGCUAAUACCGAAUGUGCCCUUCGGGGGAAAGAUUUAUCGCCUUUAGAGCGGCCCGCGUCUGAUUAGCUAGUUGGUUGAGGUAAUGGCUCACCAAGGCGACGAUCAGUAGCUGGUCUGAGAGGAUGAUCAGCCACAUUGGGACUGAGACACGGCCCAAACUCCUACGGGAGGCAGCAGUGGGGAAUCUUGCGCAAUGGGCGAAAGCCUGACGCAGCCAUGCCGCGUGAAUGAUGAAGGUCUUAGGAUUGUAAAAUUCUUUCACCGGGGACGAUAAUGACGGUACCCGGAGAAGAAGCCCCGGCUACCUUCGUG